rnacentral:rRNA from 1 species
GAUGAACGCUGGCGGCGUGCCUAACACAUGCAAGUCGAGCGGGAAAUCUUUGAACAAAACUUCGGUCUAGUGAUAAGAUGGAGAGCGGCGGACGGGUGAGUAACGCGUAGGCAACCUGCCUCAUACAGAGGGAUAGCCUCGGGAAACCGGGAUUAAAACCUCAUAACGCGAGAAUUUCACAUGAGAUUAUCGCCAAAGAUUUAUCGGUAUGAGAUGGGCCUGCGUCUGAUUAGUUAGUUGGUGGGGUAACGGCCUACCAAGGCAACGAUCAGUAGCCGACCUGAGAGGGUAAUCGGCCACAUUGGAACUGAGACACGGUCCAAACUCCUACGGGAGGCAGCAGUGGGGAAUAUUGCACAAUGGGCGAAAGCCUGAUGCAGCAACGCCGCGUGAACGAUGAAGGCCUUUGGGUCGUAAAGUUCUGUCCUUGGGGAAGAAAAAAAUGACGGUACCCAUGGAGGAAGCCCCGGCUAACUACGUG